rnacentral:rRNA from 1 species
UACGUAGGUCCCGAGCGUUGUCCGGAUUUACUGGGUGUAAAGGGAGCGUAGACGGCCAGACAAGUCUGAAGUGAAAAUCCAGCGCUUAACGUUGGAAGUGCUUUGGAAACUGCCGGGCUAGAGUGCAGGAGGGGCAGGCGGAAUUCCUAGUGUAGCGGUGAAAUGCGUAGAUAUUAGGAGGAACACCAGUGGCGAAGGCGGCCUGCUGGACUGCAACUGACGUUGAGGCUCGAAGGCGUGGGGAGCAAACAGG